rnacentral:rRNA from 1 species
AUUGAACGCUGGCGGCAUGCCUUACACAUGCAAGUCGAACGGUAGCGGGCCUUCGGGUGCCGACGAGUGGCGAACGGGUGAGUAAUGUAUCGGAACGUACCUUUCAGUGGGGGAUAACGUAGCGAAAGUUGCGCUAAUACCGCAUAUUCUGUGAGCAGGAAAGCAGGGGAUCGCAAGACCUUGCGCUGAUUGAGCGGCCGAUAUCAGAGUAGCUAGUUGGGGUGGUAAAGGCUCACCAAGGCCCCGACCUGUAGCGGGUCUGAGAGGAUGAUCGGCAACACGGGAACUGAGACACGGGCCAGCCUCCUACGGGAGGCAGCAGUGGGGAAUUUUGGACAAUGGGGGCAACCCUGAUCCAGCCAUGCCGCGUGAGUGAAGAAGGCCUUCGGGUUGUAAAGCUCGUUCGGCCGGGAAGAAAUCGUAUCAGCUAAUACCUGGUGCGGAUGACGGUACCGGCAUAAGAAGCACCGGCUAACUACGUGCCAGCAGCCGCCGUAACAC